UACGUAGGGGGCAAGCGUUGUCCGGAUUUAUUGGGCGUAAAGAGCGUGUAGGCGGUUUGGUAGGUCCGUUGUGAAAACUCGAGGCUCAACCUCGAGACGCCGAUGGAAACCAUCAGACUAGAGUCCGGAAGAGGAGAGUGGAAUUCCUGGUGUAGCGGUGAAAUGCGCAGAUAUCAGGAGGAACACCAAUGGCGAAGGCAGCUCACUGGGACGUUACUGACGCUGAGACGCGAAAGCGUGGGGAGCAAACAGG
rnacentral:rRNA from 1 species